rnacentral:rRNA from 1 species
AUGUGCGAAAGCACGACAAGGUUAUCCGAGUGGUUUCUGCUAAAGAAACCUUUUGCUAGUCCUAGAAACACUAGUGAAUAAGGGGUGGGCAAGUUCUGGUGUCAGCCGCCGCGGUAAAACCAGCACCUCAAGUGGUCAGGAUGAUUAUUGGGCCUAAAGCAUCCGUAGCUCGUUUUGUAAGUUUUCGGUUAAAUCCAUACGCUUAACGUAUGGGCUGCCGGGAAUACUGCAUAACUAGGAAGUGGGAGAGGUAGACGGUACUCGGUAGGAAGGGGUAAAAUCCUUUGAUCUAUUGAUGACCACCUGUGGCGAAGGCGGUCUACCAGAACACGUUCGACGGUGAGGGAUGAAAGCUGGGGGAGCAAACCGGAUUAGAUACCCGGGUAGUCCCAGCUGUAAACUAUGCAAACUCAGUGAUGCAUUGGCUUGUGGCCAAUGCAGUGCUGCAGGGAAGCCGUUAAGUUUGCCGCCUGGGAAGUACGUACGCAAGUAUGAAACUUAA